AUUGAACGCUGGCGGCAUGCCUAACACAUGCAAGUCGAACGGCAGCACAGGAGAGCUUGCUCUCUGGGUGGCGAGGGGCGGACGGGUGAGGAAUACAUCGGAAUCUACCUUUUCGUGGGGGAUAACGUAGGGAAACUUACGCUAAUACCGCAUACGACCUACGGGUGAAAGUGGGGGACCGCAAGGCCUCACGCGAUUAGAUGAGCCGAUGUCCGAUUAGCUAGUUGGCGGGGUAAUGGCCCACCAAGGCGACGAUCGGUAGCUGGUCUGAGAGGAUGAUCAGCCACACUGGAACUGAGACACGGUCCAGACUCCUACGGGAGGCAGCAGUGGGGAAUAUUGGACAAUGGGCGCAAGCCUGAUCCAGCCAUACCGCGUGGGUGAAGAAGGCCUUCGGGUUGUAAAGCCCUUUUGUUGGGAAAGAAAUCCUGUCGAUUAAUACUCGGUGGGGAUGACGGUACCCAAAGAAUAAGCACCGGCUAACUUCGAGCCAGCCGCCGCCGUAACAC
rnacentral:rRNA from 1 species